AGCCAGUGACGAGUCCCAAAUAGGACGAAAUGCGCGUUAUCCUGGAU
rnacentral:hammerhead_ribozyme from 1 species